AUUUGUACACGCUUGCUCCUCGCAUUACCACUGCAGUAGGUUCAUAAGAAAAGAAAAGGCAUAUCACAAACUAUAAGAAGAAGAAAUUACCAUUAUUGCAGGUCGCCUUUUUAUGCUCAACACGUUCUUUCCACAGUCCUUCUGGAAUCUUUGGGUUCACCAUCGACUUUUUUACAGUAGUAAUAAGUAACAAUAUGCACAAAUACACAUUCCAGAAAAUAUUAUUGAAAGUUUAACAUGCACCUUAUUAUAAGUCAAUUUCGAUAGAGGCAUAUGACAAUGAUGUGCAUUAUUGGCAUUUUUACCCACUACCGUCCUCCAGAUAUCUGACAGAUUGCCUCAAAACAUGCAUAGCAAGACUAUCUAUUUAUCUACAUUAAGCAAUAGAGAACUCUCGUUUUUAGGUGAGCGGCUUAUGAGAAUAGCAUAUCCUAGCUGCAAUGCAGAUGUUUCAGGCAAAAUACUUUAUUGCCACAUAAAAGGAAAACACAUAUUUGAGAAUUGCUUAUGAUAGCAACAAGCCAACAACAUAGAUCAAUGUGUUUUUUCUUAAUCAUCUUACAACUUGGAAAUACUAAUUGUCAUUGAUAUCCUAUUAGCAACAAAAUUUUGCAUCAUGAGCCCUACAGCUUGGGAUGGGCCUAAACUUGUCAAUUAUAUGUACAUAUACCCACUUUGUGACUCAAAUAAUUUCAAGCUAAUGUUAUACAGUGAUCUUUCUACCUUUCAUACUUAAGACCAUAGGAAAUAGAAACAGAAAAGAAAUAAAAACACAUUACAAUGAGACAAGUACCUUUCACGUGACACUUGAAUGUCCUGGUAUAUCAAAAUCUUCAUCAUCAUUGUCGUCGUCGUCGAUCCGUUCAACAUAAUCUUCUAAGUUCCGCAAUAACCAUCAGCAUGACAAGUUUAGAAAUAAUUUCAAAUACAAGUUUGCACAUGCGGGUACAUAUGAAAGUUGACAUAGAGGAUUACCCUGAAAGUGAUUUAUUUGAUGAGUUAUUUGUAUUCUUCAUCUAGUUCUGCUACUGUUUUUCCUC
rnacentral:lncRNA from 1 species